rnacentral:rRNA from 1 species
GACGAACGCUGGCGGCGUGCUUAACACAUGCAAGUCGAACGGAGUGUCGAACGGGUGAGUAACACGUGGGUGAACCGCCUUGCACUUCGGGAUAAGCUUGGGAAACUGGGUGUAAUACCGGAUAGUGCAAGAUGAGCUCGCGGCGUAUCGGCUUGUUGGUGGGGUAAUGGCCUACCCAGGCGUCGACGGGUAGCCGGCCUGAGAGGGUGUACGGCCACAUUGGGACUGAGAUACGGACCAGACUCCUACGGGAGGCAUCAGUGGGGAAUAUUGCACAAUGGGCGGGAGCCUGAGGCGGCGACGCCGGGUGGGGGAUGAAGGCCUUCGGGUUGUAAACUCCUUUCGACAGGGACGCGGUACCUGUAGAAGAAGCACCGGCUAACUACGUGCCAGCAGCCGCGGUAAUUC